GGGGUUAAACGGGGGAGUGGUGUAACUGAUUCCCACGCUUGCUCCCGGAGUGCCAACACCAAUGCCCGGAUUGCCGCUGAAUGGGCCGCCGUUGAGCGGGAUACUAACGUCAGCCCCGUAUGCCCCGUUGGCACUCGCCCCCCACCCGUCCGUCGGCCCGUCUGGGUAGUAGAGGGCUGACGCUCCGCCUCCAGGCACACCAACGCCAACAAAAAAGGUGAGACCGACCCCCUCUGGUCCCCAAACGAUGCCAACGCCACCCCCCACCAGAUAGGGCGAGUAACCUUCGACCAUGACCGACCCGCCAUAAUCGCCGUAGGGUGACGUGUAGGCGUACCCGUUCGAGUCGAUCCAAGAAUUGGGGUUGUUCAGC
rnacentral:misc_RNA from 1 species